AUGCGGGACCCUACGGGUGCCGCGUUCGGAAUGAGUACGAUUCGAACCACCUAACGAGGAACGUUCGGAGGGCAAGUCUGGUGCCAGCAGCCGCGGUAAUUCCAGCUCCAAUAGCGUACGUUAAAGUUGCUGCAGUUAAAAAGCUCGUAGUUGAACGUUCGGGUUCCGCGGGACGGGGCCGCCCCGCGAGGGACGGCGCCGCCCCGGGGCUCGUGAUAUCUUAUCUCGCCGCCCGUCGCGAGGCGGACGGAGGGAUGGAUGAGGUUACCUGGAAAAAAUCGGGGCGAUCUAGGCGGGCGAACCUCGCCAACGAACGAUCGGACAUGGGAUAACGGAAGAGGGCGUCGGCUCGACUUCGUCGGUUCCUCGGGCCGAGGCACGUACGGUGAAUAGGGACGGUCGGGGCCGCCCGUACCGGGUCGUGAGAGGUGAAAUUCUAGGAUCGACCCGAGACGAACUGCCGCGAAGCAUUCGGCAAGGACGCUUUCAUUAAUCAAGAACGAAGUCGGGGAUCGAAGACGAUCAGAUACCGUCGUAGUCCGACCGUAACGAUGCCGACCGA
rnacentral:rRNA from 1 species